rnacentral:rRNA from 1 species
AGUGAACGCUGGCGGCAGGCCUAACACAUGCAAGUCGAGCGGCAGCGCGGGGGCAACCCUGGCGGCGAGCGGCGGACGGGUGAGGAAUACAUGGGAAUCUACCUUCUUGUGGGGGAUGACGUAGGGAAACUUACGCUAAUACCGCAUGAGACCGAGAGGUGAAAGCGGCGGACCGCAAGGCGUCGCGCGAGAAGAUGAGCCCAUGUCAGAUUAGCUAGUUGGUGAGGUAAAGGCUCACCAAGGCGACGAUCUGUAACUGGCCUGAGAGGAUGAUCAGUCACACUGGAACUGAGACACGGUCCAGACUCCUACGGGAGGCAGCAGUGGGGAAUAUUGGACAAUGGGCGCAAGCCUGAUCCAGCCAUGCCGCGUGGGUGAAGAAGGCCUUCGGGUUGUAAAGCCCUUUUGUCCGGAACGAAAAGCGAUCGGUUAAUACCCGGUCGUGCUGACGGUACCGGAAGAAUAAGCACCGGCUAACUUCGUGCCAGCCGCCGCGGUAAAAC